ensembl:misc_RNA Metazoa_SRP Metazoan signal recognition particle RNA
GCCGGUGUGUGCCUGUAGUCCCAGCUACUCAGGAGGCUAAGGUUGGAGGAUCACUUGAAUCCAGGAGUUCUGGACUGUAGUGCACUAAGCUGAUUGGGUUUCUGCACUAACUUUGGCAUCAAUAUGGUGACCUCCUGGGAGCAGGGGACCACCAGGUUGCCUAAGGAGGGGUGAACCAGCCCAGGUCAGAAAUGGAGCAGUUCAAAACUCCCGUGCUGACCAGUAGUGGGACUGCGCCUGUGACUGGCCACUGCACUCCAGCCUGGGCAACAGAGUGAGACCCCACCUCUU